UGGCGAGCGAACACGGAACAGGCCAAACCGUUCUACGGGGCGGGGUUGUAGGACUUUUGUUAGAGUUACAAAGUUAUUGUAUAGUAGAAGCUAUUGGGAAGUAGCGGCAUAGAGGGUGAUACCCCCGUAUACGAAAUGCAAUAACCUCGAGAAAGUAUCCUGAGUACGGCGAAACACGUGAAAUUUUGUCGGAAUCUGCCAAGACCACUUGGUAAGCCUAAAUACUACCAUUUUACCGAUAGUGAACCAGUACCGUGAGGGAAAGGUGAAAAGCACCCCGAGAGGGGAGUGAAAGAGAUCCUGAAACCAUAUGCUUACAAGAAGGUAGAGCCCGUUAAUGGGUGAUACCGUGCUUUUUG
rnacentral:rRNA from 1 species